UUAUAAUUUUCUUUAUGGGUUUCUCUAGACAAUACUAAUUAUCGGUUCUUUUCUUGAAGUGAUCUCAAAAGGCUAUCUUUGGAAGGAAUACUCACACCUGAGUUAGGGAAUCUCACUCAGUUGAGACGUCUCCUCUUUUUCUUGGUGAAAGUGGCGUAGAGAUUAUCAAGCUUCAACUUCAACUUCCUCCUCCACAUCUAUUUCUGCAGCUGAUAUCAAUGUCAUUCCCCUGAGACAGCGAGCUUUUUGGAAGGAACAUCUAGUACAAUAACAUCCCAAGAGGUUGUCUAUGAACUGGAAGCUAAACGAGAUGCGUGGCGAAAUGGAUGCUAAAGUUGCAGAAAUGGAAGCUAAACAUCAAAAAAUGCGUGAGGAAAUGGAUGCCAAAGCUAUAGCAAUAGAUGCCAAACAACAACAAAUUGAUGCAAAAUAUGAAGCAAUAGAGAAGAUGUAUGCAGCCUUGCAAAAUAUGAUGGGAAAUUGAAAAUUAGAGGAAUGAGAACCGAAGAUGAUUGGAUGGACAUGAAAUGAAGAGAGCAACUAAAAUGUUAUUUUGAAGGUUAAACUUUUUUCAGUUUGUACCUCUUUUGCAUACUUUGGAUUUCUUGGUGCUAAAAUAUUAUUUUGAAGUUAAACUGUUGGGAGUUUGAUGUUAUGUGGAUAGUUUCGUUUUUGGAUGUUUUUUGAAUGACACUUUGGUAAAGUUUGAUAGUUUUGGUAUUGUAAUGCUUGGUUGUAUCAUUAUUUGAUGUUCUUUAGUAUAAUAAUUUGAUGAUUGUAGUAUUUUUUUUCUUUUAGAAUCAUAAUAAAAAAAAUGAUAUUACAAGUUCGUGGUGAGAAAAUAAAAAGUAUUUUAAUGCAUGAAUUUUGCGAGGGAUUAGCUACGGAAAAAAAAAAUCAUGUCUAAAGUGUGCGACGGAUC